ensembl:lncRNA
CUGGUUUUGCAUGGAGAAGCAGAACAUGAUGAAGCAUUUUUCUCCCCCAUUUAAAGAUCCAGUCAUGUUCCAGUUUGCAGGGGCAGAAGGGCUGGUUUGCAGUUGGUGCUGGGAGGAUAGAGUUUCUUCCACAGAAUUAUCUCACUAAAUAACUCUCGCUAAAGCCUAACAAGACUUGUCAUCAAGCCCAUUUUCCGGAGGGAGAAACCGAGACUCCAAGAACUACAGAACCUAUUUCUGUGUCUCAAUACGUAGGCCGGCUCUCCGACUUGACGGAAUCGCUCUGGCAACAGCGCCCUCUAAAGGCGGAGGCGAGUAUGCCUGCGUAACAGUCGUGCCCCGUCCUUUGGCGCUGGAAAUGGCGGAGGGCUCCCUCUGGCUUCUGAGGAUUGUCCAGCGCCCCUCCGAGGUCCUGGAGAAGCCAGGAGCGCUGCCUACAACUCGGCCUUGACUUCCCCGCAGCCUUGGUCGCCGCAGCAUUGGGUCAGAGGCAUCCCUGGAGAUUGCAGAAAGUUAGCGGCGGCCCCUGUUGACGCAGCGAGUGACGGCCCGACAUACCCUGAUAGGCCACGGGGAGGGCCAGACGCAGAGCCUUGAAAGAAGGAGCUUGCGCUCUGGAAGGGGCGUGGCCAGCGCUCUUCCUCGAGGGCGGGGCUCUAGGGGAAGGGGCUCUUCUCUGGGAUAUUGUGCCACAAGCGAGGACACCCGUGCACCUAGCCCAGGGCCUGUGUCCUGGCGUCAGCGCAUCUGUGGGCAGCAACUUUACCCUCCCCAGACCUCAGUUUCUGCACCUGUAAGACGGAGGCUCUUCCACAACUGCAAAAAUCGGAGUUUCAUCCAGCAUUCUCAGAAUUCCUGUCUCCAGGCAGGCACUGAGGAAUCAGAGCUGCGUUCCUGUGGAGGCUCAGAGCUCUGAGAUCUCCUUCACUUGCUGCAUCAGUACUCCUGACACUGGAGAGUUCUGGAGGUUGGAGACCAGCCCCUUCCUGGUGGAACAGGCACCCUGUAGCCUGGGAUGUGACAGUCAUAUGACAGGGCCUGUAACAAGUAACAGUGGUAGCCCAAAUAUGUCGAGCACUUACUAUAUGCCUGGCUUUUCAUGAAGUCUGUCGCAUACGUUAUUUACACCCCCACCCGCACAGCCGUGUCUGGUGGUCCUGUUCUUGACAUCCUGUUUACUGAUGAGCCCAGAGUCACACAAUAGUAGCCAGUCCAAGGUCACCCAGCUAAUAAAUGGCUGAAGCAGUAGUCCACAGUCUCAUCCACUGUUCCGUACCAAAAAAAAAAUGUUUAACCUGGAAGGGAGAUGGCAGAGGGGGAAAAUUACAAGAUCCUACCAGUGUUAAUCUAUACCACGAGUUGAGCCCUUAGUAUGUGUUGGAAGCUGGCCUACAGAUCAGCACCAUUUAUACUCCUGACAGUGACCUUAUACUAUAGGGUUGUUAUUUCCACUUCUGAGAGGUCAUCUCAUAUGUCUCUGGUCACACUGCUAGUACAAAACUGGAACUUUGAGUUUAAUGGAUGGUACACUCAGCCUGCCUGUAUAUCACUCUUAGGAAGACCCCACUCUUCUCUGAGCCUGUUUCCCGUUCUGCACAAUGAGAGGUUUGGACCAGAAGGCUCUGGACAUUGUUUCCUGAGCUCACAUUCUUUGAUUUUAGGAGCAUUGACAUGAUGUCCAGAGUCCUGGGUUUGUUCCUAAUUAUCUAUGACUUGGGAACGCCUCGGCCUAAUCCCUUGCAUCUCUGGGCCUCAGUUUCCCCCUUUGUAAAAUGUGGAGAUGAGAAAGUCUCAAUCACCAAGGGACCUUCUGGCUUUAAUAUUUUAUGACUGCAAAUGAAGAGACAAGCUGAGGUUCAGCAAAUUGUGCAUCCUCUGAGAAAUUCUAAUGAAUGUGAUUCUGCCACCUUGCUCAAAACAUUCCUGGUGCAAGGCUUCCAAGGACAGAUGCCCAUGUAGGUCAAGGGGAACAGCCACCUCCAGAUAAUCAGCAUUAACUGCUGGAGGAGGCUCACUCUCCUGAUGGUCCAAAAUCCACCCCUGUGGUCAGACCAGCUUAAGACUGAAUGCCAGCACUUCCCCCUGGGCACCUCAGAGAAGUGACCCUUUCUGUGCCUUAGUUUCUACAUCUGUAAAAUAGGGUGCUAACAGGACCAGCUUCAUUUGAGAUUUGAUGGAAAAACAUGUGCAAAAAGCCUAACAUGGACAUUCCCUGGUGGCUCAGUGGGUUAAGGACCUGGCAUUGUCACUGUCGUGGCACAGGUUUGAUUCCUGGCCCAGGAACUUCCUCAUGCCAAGGGUACAACCCCAAAAAAAAGCCUAACAUGCUACUUCUGGCUUAGGAAAACCCCCAAUAAAUACAACUGUUACC